AGUGGAUUUGGAUGAGAGGGGAGGUGGAAAGGAACUGGGAGGGGCAGAGGGAGAUGAAGACAUAAUCAGGAUUUAUUAAGUGAGAAGUAAAAUGAAAUUUUUUAAAUAAAAAAUUGUAUUUACUUGCAAUCAUUUGGAAUGUCAACAAAACAGCGGGGUUAAUUUUAAUUUUAAUUUUUGUUAUUACAGAGUGGUAUUCAGUUAGCAGAAGAACAAUUUGUAUAAGCUGCAUCACAGUCAACUGAAGAGGAGAUAAACAAAACAAAACCGAGCAUCCCCCCUUCUCCCCCCAAACACCACCACCCCCACAUAGUUGUGCUGUGCACCAAUAAGAACCUGCUUUAAAUUUCCAUGCCAAUUUUCAAACCUAGGAUUGUCCUGGGCAAAGUCAGUGGCUAUUGAAAAUAUCACCAGAACAGAGUUAUCUAAAGUCAUUUGGCAGUAUGUUAACAACACAAAAAAGGCACUGCACAGUUUAAAAACAAAUCUGAACACAACUUUACAUUUCAAUUUCUUUUCUUUAAAAGGAGUGAAUUGUGAACUGGGGUUGGGGUGGGGUUAAAUACUUUAUAGAUCUGAAAAAUGCACUGGAACCCAUUUUGGCCUCAUCAUCAACUUCAUCUUCUUCCUCCUCCUCCUUGUUCUCUUCCCCUCCCUUCUUUUUACUUGCUCUUUCAGCCUCGAUGAGCCCCUUUCCCCACUGCGUACAGUUUUCCUUUAGCUCUGUUGACUGCAACAUCCUUCUAGUGUUUUCCCUUCCGCUUGGCAUCCUUCUAGUUACAAGGCUGCUUGUUACCUGCAGCUGUGCUGUUCUACAGUUCCCCGAAUUUCUUUGCGACAUCACCAGUGGUCCAGCCAGGAUGUUCUCCUUCGACUUUUCGAUAAUAUUCAGAACAGAACAAGAAGAAGGCAGAAAGAGGCAGCUGGUGUGCACUGGGAUCCUUGGACCUCUUUUUGAUCUUCUCUUUGGGUGGGGAGAUGUAGGUUGUCAUGCCAGCCUAUGCCAUGUCUUCACAUUUUCCCUUAUCUUUAGCAGACUUGGUUUUCUUCAUCUCUGAGCACUUCUUAUUAAACUCCGAGGAGCUGACAGAAGCCAUCCGGCGCUUCUUGUUCUCUUCCCAGCAGGUUUGCACCCACAAAAAAUGCAUAUGAAGACAUUUUCCCUCUCGGCUCCUUUGCUCAGUUACUUUUCCUCGGAGAGGCACAGAGUCUCCCUCCAGUUCUCACUCUGGCAGGCUGUCUCUACGGAGCUGAAAGUCCUGUCCCCCACAAAUCUAUUUUCAACAAAAGAGGGAGAAAAGAAAGAAAAAAAAAGUUAUCUUAAACUUUGCUCCAAUGGGAAGGGAUUUUUCUUUUGUUUAAAACAUUAUCAACAAUUCUGUUAUUUAAUAUGUAAAAUUUUGAGAUUAGAGAGGCGGAUCAGCUCUUUAGAGCACUUUCUAACCCUUCUAGAGGACCUGUGUUUGAUUCACAACAUCCACAUGGUGGCUCACAACUGUCUGUAACUCUUGAUUCAGCCGAUUUAACACCUUCUUCUGGCAUGUUGGCAUCAGGCACACAUGUGGUGUACAGACAUACGUGCAGGCAAAACACUUAUACACUUAAAGAAUGGACUUUAAAAUGCUUAAAACAAAAAAAUGAAACACAUAUAACAUGGAAAUUGUAUUAUUAUUUAAAAUAAAGUAUUUUUUUAAAUACAAAAAACCAAAGUAAUCCUUGUGAGAAACAGGAAAAGAAAGGAAGAAAAUGUGUGACAAUUGAAGAAAUCACAGGUUGGGAAAAAUUUUGGCUCAGUGAGAAUCUACUUCUACCAAUUAAAAAAAAAUAACUCAGCAAGAGUCCCACAAUAAAACUUCCCAUCUACUGAUGGGACCAGGCACAUCAUUGUCCUAUAAAGAGAAGAAAGUUUUAAUUUUAGUUUUAUCAAGACUUCUAUCACUCUUGGGUAAAAAUAUCUAUGAAACAUCCAAUUAGCUUCUAUCAGUUGGUUAGCCGUUUUAUACAGUCAUUUACUUGGUGUUUCUGUGGCUUGUUGUUACAUGUUUUAAAUAUGUAGUUAGUUUUUUUUUUUUAAUUGGCUCUCUGUCUCAGUUUCUAUUCAUAAAAGAGUCUGAAGACUUAAGACUUAAUAUCACUAAAGUUUUAUCCUUACACGAUCACACUUAAAUGUAGAUCUAGUUUUAUGUUUGUCCUACUUAAAGUGGUUUGAAUAUGGGCAAGUAGUCAAAGAACACAUUGGCACCUCAAACCCCAGUUCAUGUGCAGCAUCAGUGAAGACAGGGAUUGCCAGACCUUUGCAAGGAACAGCAUAAUGGGAGUCAUCGACAGUUUAAUGAGAUUAGGGAAAAUGAAGCAGAUACAGCUAGAAACACAGGACUCAUUGUAGAAACAAUGAGACUCAGACAGAAAUAAUAGAGCAGAGACUUUCUGUAGUUGGAGAGCAGAAAUGAAGACAGCAUCCUCACCUACCUGGGCCAGGUAGGGUCCACCAUUCCUACUGAGAGGGGCUGCCAAAUGCUUAAAGACCUUCUUAUAGUAGGGCUACUGCAUAACUACAAAAGGGUUUCUAGCACCUUAAGGUUAUCUAUGUAGGAAGGCUUUUUAAAUGAACUACCUGAUAUUUGCUUAAUAUCAACAUUAUGAUGUUAGGAACCUAUCAGUGGCUUUGAGAUGCAAAGAAUAACCAUCAUUCUAAGUAUUUGCUUAUUAGUAGAUCAUGAUAAAAAGCAUAUGCAUUUAAUAAAAUGAAUUUCUCCAAGUACCUGGACAGUGCAGACUCCAACAAGACCCUUAAAACUCCUUUGUGAUUUCAUUAUGAAAAAAUAUCUCUAGAAGUUUUCAACAAUGCUUUAAAUAUGAUCAGGUAUAGGCAGAAGAAACACAAAAUAGCUCAAUGGUAAAUAAGGUAUUAUAGUUGGAAUAAAACUUAUUACCAUAAUACAAGGAGCAUGAAUUAAAAUGUCUUUUUUCAUGCCUCGUGGAAGACUCACCCUCAUGUUUAUUCUUAUUGAUAAUUUUGACACUAUUAUAAUUCUUGUUUCUAUUCUUAUUCUUACAUUAACAAUAGAUCCUUUCCAGAAUAUUUUUUUGAGGUAUAGUUAAGCUACACCAUACACACUACUUUGUUUCCAUCUUAAACUUGUGAUAACCUAAUCAGACUCAGCUGGAAAUCAAUGUCCUUCUAAACUCACCAAUCUGGAAGGCCUGGGCAUGGCUGUGAUGGAAUACCAGACAGAAAAACUUAAGAAAGAAGGGUUUAAUUGUCUCCCAAGAGGCUUCAUCCAGCACUGGAUGGAAACAUAUGUAGAGACCCACAGCCAAACAUUAGGCAGAGCUCAGGGAGUGGUGUGGAAGAGUAGGGGAUAGGACUGAGCUGGAGAGGUUAAAGACACCUUCAGAAAACCUAUAGAGUCAACUAACCUGGUCCUAUAGGGGCUCACAGGGACUGAACCACCAACCAAAGGGCAUGUAAAGGCUGGAGCUACACAUUUGUAGCACAUGUUCAGCUUGGUUUUCAUGUGGGUCCUCUAACAAUUGGAGUGGGGACUGUCUCUGACUCUGUUGCCUGCCACUGGGCCUCUUCUCCUAGCAGGAAUGCCUGGUUGGGUAUCAGCUGGACAGGAUGCACUUAGUCCUACUGAAACUUGAUGUUCCAGGGCAGGUGGGUACCUAAGGGGGGAAUUCUUCUCUGAGAAGAAGCAGGCAUAAUGGGAGGAGGGAUUUGUGAGGGUGGAACUGGGAGGAGAGGCACUACUGGGAUGUAAAGAAAUGAAUAAGUUAAUGGAGAACAGAAGGAAGUAUUUACUUAUUUUGUUUCAUGAUUUCAGGUCUCAGUCCAUCCAUGAUUGUGCAGGCAUGACAGUUGACAACAUCUUGAUCCAUGCUGACAGGAGCUCCAUCUGCUACAGUGUGCACAGUUUCCAGAAAAGCGCCAGACAAGCUGUGGAUCAGGCAUUCAACAUAUGAGCCAAUGGGAGAGCAGUAUGGAUUCCCGGCAUAAUAACUACCGUCUGAAUGGUUGCCCAGGAUAACAACUGAAUGUUGGGAAAAUUUGAAGUUGCCCUUUUUGGGUCAGAGUUGGUGCUCCACUGACUUUCUGUAGACAGACAUUCAUAUCGAUAUGGGAAGGUUUCGCUUAUGGCCCUAAAUGAAACCAUCACUUCAUUUCCUGAAUGUAGGUCAAUCAGUCUUCCUGAUUUCUAUAAGAAUUUUGGCAUGCUUCCAGAAGAAAUUCAUCAUGGAAAGGAAAUGUACAAACGGCUCGUUUCUCUUGCCCCUAACUAGAAGUUUCUGACAAUGACCUGAAAGAAGAGGAAGGGCAUUUGUCUCUUUGUCAAGUUGUCGAGGAAACAUCGCAGAUCCUCUGGGAGUGAGGGCAGAGUUGGGAACUCAGAAGAUUGGCCAGCCAUGUCCUCUAUCUGAUUCCACUGACCAGUUGCUGCUGACAGCUUCCGGUGCCAGCAGAGGCCAGCCAUGUCCUCUGCCCAGUUCCGCUGACCAGUUGCUGCUGACAGCUUCCGGUGCCAGCAGAGCCAGUUUUCUGUCUUGGGUAUAUCAAAAUGUCACACUUUCUCCAAUUCUGACAGUCAGUCCACAGUUUGCCCUAAAUGUUUCCAUUUUAGGCCUGCAAGUUAAUAGGAGCAUAGCUUGCUACAUGCAAAACACAUUUGGACUAAUAAAAAAUGGAUGAGACCACCUGGCUGAAUUUCUCUUCAUCUAGACCUUGGGCUCAGUUUCUGCCCCAUUUAUUCAAGGUUGGGGCUGAAUCCUCCUUGCCAAGUAUAACAAGUGUGAUCAUUUCUGGUUUUUUUUUUUUUGUGUGUGCACAUUUUUCACUUCAGUCCAAGUGGACACUCAUCGAAGCAAAUGUAAACCCUAAUGUUUAAAGACUGCGUCCUAUUCACGCAUUCUGCCGGUAGGUGGCAGUAGUACAACACACAAAAAGUUAACGUGCUAAGUGGCGUCAAGAGAAUGAUGAUGGGGAUGAAGAUGAUGGUGAUGAUGACGACCACAACGUCUAUGACAAAGGACCAAUCAUUCAUCCUUAGAAGGCACUGUUUACAUUCUAAGUUUUGUGAUGUUUUCUCAGUAUUGUUAUUAUUACUACUUACAAUAUACCUGAAAUGGGAGAUGAAA